GAGAGUUUGAUCCUGGCUCAGGAUGAACGCUGGCGGCGUGCCUAAUACAUGCAAGUCGAGCGAAUGGAUUAAGAGCUUGCUCUUAUGAAGUUAGCGGCGGACGGGUGAGUAACACGUGGGUAACCUGCCCAUAAGACUGGGAUAACUCCGGGAAACCGGGGCUAAUACCGGAUAACAUUUUGAACCGCAUGGUUCGAAAUUGAAAGGCGGCUUCGGCUGUCACUUAUUGGAUGGACCCGCGUCGCAUUAGCUAGUUGGUGAGGUAACGGCUACCAAGGCAACGAUGCGUAGCCGAACCUGAGAGGGUGAUCGGCCACACUGGGACUGAGACACGGCCCAGAC
rnacentral:rRNA from 1 species